AGAGUUUGAUCCUGGCUCAGGACGAACGCUGGCGGCGUGCCUAAUACAUGCAAGUCGUGCGGACCUUUUAAAAGCUUGCUUUUAAAAGGUUAGCGGCGGACGGGUGAGUAACACGUGGGCAACCUGCCUGUAAGAUCGGGAUAACGCCGGGAAACCGGGGCUAAUACCGGAUAGUUUUUUCCUCCGCAUGGAGGAAAAAGGAAAGACGGCUUCGGCUGUCACUUACAGAUGGGCCCGCGGCGCAUUAGCUAGUUGGUGGGGUAACGGCUCACCAAGGCAACGAUGCGUAGCCGACCUGAGAGGGUGAUCGGCCACAUUGGGACUGAGACACGGCCCAAACUCCUACGGGAGGCAGCAGUAGGGAAUCUUCCGCAAUGGACGAAAGUCUGACGGAGCAACGCCGCGUGAGUGAAGAAGGCCUUCGGGUCGUAAAACUCUGUUGCCGGGGAAGAACAAGUGCCGUUCGAACAGGGCGGCGCCUUGACGGUACCCGGCCAGAAAGCCACGGCUAACUACGUGCCAGCAGCCGCGGUAAUACGUAGGUGGCAAGCGUUGUCCGGAAUUAUUGGGCGUAAAGCGCGCGCAGGCGGCUUCUUAAGUCUGAUGUGAAAUCUUGCGGCUCAACCGCAAGCGGUCAUUGGAAACUGGGAGGCUUGAGUGCAGAAGAGGAGAGUGGAAUUCCACGUGUAGCGGUGAAAUGCGUAGAGAUGUGGAGGAACACCAGUGGCGAAGGCGGCUCUCUGGUCUGUAACUGACGCUGAGGCGCGAAAGCGUGGGGAGCAAACAGGAUUAGAUACCCUGGUAGUCCACGCCGUAAACGAUGAGUGCUAAGUGUUAGAGGGUUUCCGCCCUUUAGUGCUGCAGCUAACGCAUUAAGCACUCCGCCUGGGGAGUACGGCCGCAAGGCUGAAACUCAAAGGAAUUGACGGGGGCCCGCACAAGCGGUGGAGCAUGUGGUUUAAUUCGAAGCAACGCGAAGAACCUUACCAGGUCUUGACAUCCUCUGACCUCCCUGGAUAGGGCUUGCUGAACGAAUCAGAUUCUGUCAGAUACAAGCCAAAUUACGGUUAUUAAAAUAUAAAAUAGUGUUGUACAAAAAUUUCAAAAAAAGAACCCUGAGCUUCCGCUCCAGAUUCAUUAUAAGGAAUUGAAGGGCUACUACUGUUUCACUGGUCUCCUGAAGGCGUGCUCGAAUAAGGCCUAGCCCAUACUUGCGCUUGCCUUCGCCAAAUUUGCUUUCAACGGCAUUACGUUCGGAGGCAUCCUGCCUUGCCACGCGUUCUAAGGUUUUGUCUUCCGUUUUGGAUGGGCGUCCCAACCUUGGCCCACUCAGACGAAUGCCAAGAGAUUUACAGUAUGCUAGGUUGUCAC
rnacentral:rRNA from 2 species